AGUGAACGCUGGCGGUAGGCCUAACACAUGCAAGUCGAACGGCAGCACAGUAAGAGCUUGCUCUUACGGGUGGCGAGUGGCGGACGGGUGAGGAAUACAUCGGAAUCUACUUUUUCGUGGGGGAUAACGUAGGGAAACUUACGCUAAUACCGCAUACGACCUACGGGUGAAAGCAGGGGAUCUUCGGACCUUGCGCGAUUGAAUGAGCCGAUGUCGGAUUAGCUAGUUGGCGGGGUAAAGGCCCACCAAGGCGACGAUCCGUAGCUGGUCUGAGAGGAUGAUCAGCCACACUGGAACUGAGACACGGUCAAGACUCCUACGGGAGGCAGCAGUGGGGAAUAUUGGACAAUGGGCGCAAGCAUGAUCCAGCCAUACCGCGUGGGUGAAGAAGGCCUUCGGGUUGUAAAGCCCUUUUGUUGGGAAAGAAAAGCAGCAGGUUAAUACGCCGCUGUUCUGACGGUACCCAAAGAAUAAGCACCGGCUAACUUCGUG
rnacentral:rRNA from 1 species